rnacentral:rRNA from 1 species
UCCAGACUCCUACGGGAGGCAGCAGUGGGGGAUAUUGCACAAUGGGGGGAACCCUGAUGCGGCGACGCCGCGUGGGUGAAGGAGCGUUUCGGCGCGUAAAGCCCUAUCGGCAGGGAAGAAAAUGACGGUACCUGAGUAAGAAGCCCCGGCUAACUACGUGCCAGCAGCCGCGGGAAUACGUAGGGGGCAAGCGUUAUCCGGAUUUACUGGGUGUAAAGGGAGCGUAGACGGCGAUACAAGUCUGAAGUGAAAGCCCGGGGCUCAACCCCGGGACUGCUUUGGAAACUGUGUUGCUGGAGUGCUGGAGAGGCAAGCGGAAUUUCUAGUGUAGCGGUGAAAUGCGUAGAUAUUAGGAAGAACACCAGUGGCGAAGGCGGCUUGCUGGACAGUAACUGACGUUGAGGCUCGAAAGCGUGGGGAGCAAGCAGGAUUAGAUACCCGCGUAC